rnacentral:tRNA from 1 species
CGGGGUGUAGCUCAGUCAGGUAGAGCGCUACGUUCGGGACGUAGAGGUCGCAGGUUCGAAUCCUGUCUCCCCGACCA